GAAAACACAUCAUGUUAUAUGACAUGUUAUGCUACUGUACUGCAAUUUAUAUGGAAGGAGAAUAAAAACACACCAUAUGGUCCAGGGGUAACUGCAGGCCUCUUCCUCCCUGUCAUCUUCAUCUACCUCCUCCUGAUCACUCUCUGCCUCUGUCCCCCUAUCUGAAUCUGCAGCCUCCUCUUCAUCCCUCACAGUCAAUUCUCCCUUUCCCUUUUCUCUUUCACUUAUUUCUGCAUCUCCUUCUUUGGUCUUCUCCUGCUCUAACCCGCCUGGUCUCUCCAGUUUACUGCCUUCUCCUUCUUCAUUUCCCUCCUUCUUUUCCUCCU